CCUACGUGCUUCAGCAGUGGGGAAUAUUGGACAAUGGGCGAAAGCCUGAUCCAGCCAUGCCGCGUGUGUGAAGAAGGCCUUCGGGUUGUAAAGCACUUUCAGUGGGGAAGAAAGCCUUGGGGCUAAUACCCUCGAGGAAGGACAUCACCCACAGAAGAAGCACCGGCUAACUCCGUGCCAGCAGCCGCGGUAAUACGGAGGGUGCGAGCGUUAAUCGGAAUUACUGGGCGUAAAGCGCGCGUAGGCGGUCUGAUAAGCCGGUUGUGAAAGCCCCGGGCUCAACCUGGGAACGGCAUCCGGAACUGUCAGGCUAGAGUGCAGGAGAGGAAGGUAGAAUUCCCGGUGUAGCGGUGAAAUGCGUAGAGAUCGGGAGGAAUACCAGUGGCGAAGGCGGCCUUCUGGACUGACACUGACGCUGAGGUGCGAAAGCGUGGGUAGCAAACAGGAUUAGAUACCCCUGUAGUC
rnacentral:rRNA from 1 species